AUCUGUCUUUUGUCAGUCUAAUUUAUAGGGCCUUGGCCAAUGAACCCUAGAUGGGUGAAGGCAAAUGAGAGUUCCGCUUUUCUUCCUGGCAGCGGCCUUGUGAAAGUCCUCAAGACAACGAGCGAGUUCCUUAGCAGUCUUGUGGUGUCGGCACAGCCCCAUCUUCAGGGGCAGAAACCGAGAUCCAGAGAUCUCAGUCCUGCAGCCUCGCCCCUGCUUCCCCGUGCAGGGCCGCCUGUGGAGGAGCCCUGACUCCUCUGAACACACCUGGGUGCUAGGACUUGUGCGAUUAGGAGUUAUGCCUCUGGCCUGAAGGCCCCGAGAGUCCCCUGAGCCCCAGGGAGGCCACGCCCCGUUGCGCCCCACCAGGGGUGGUGUGGGUUCCUUCCCUGAUGCUGCAAAACCGUCCGUCACACGUGACCAUUGUGUUCGCGUGGGUGACCCUCCCACUAAACCGAUUCCUUACAGGCAGGACCUGGGUGUUACGCUUUUUUGUUUGUUCGGAACUCAAUGCAGGAAAAUGCGAUCGACGUUUAUUAAUUAACCAAGGCAGUCAAAGGUAGACCUCGGACUAGAACCACGUGUCCUGGGCUCGGCUCCGCAGGUCUAGCUUCCAGACGGGAUGGUGUGCAACGUGCAAAGGAAUUUUGAAAGAUGCUACUUGCGAACAAUCCCUUUCGUCUUCGAUCGCUUUCUUUUGGCGAACCCUGCCUUCCAAAGCACUAUUUCCGUGCUUAUCAGACACCUCUACUCCUAAGAAUCAUGCUACAGUACUCGGAGAGGGAGAGAGGAAGACACGUGGGAACAAAAAAGGGGAGAUCAUUUGCUUUCACCAACCAAAGUUCGUUUGUUUCCACCACCCAGGUAUGCACGCAGAACUGGGACCGACAGAACUUUCCAUUACUGAUGUCUUGAUGCCAACCAGCAAUGUGGCCACCCAAGACGUCAAGUCCUUGUCCAUCCUGAGUCAGAAUCUACCUGACAACCUGAUCACCUCUCAGCUCGCCAUCUCGGAUCAAGUACCCUAAAAAUCUAAAUGUGACACGAGCAAGUACGUUACAGGUGAUGACUCUCUUCACCUGGUACACCACCUCCCUCUACAAGCAACUGUCCAAUAUGGCAGAACAAGGGUAAAAGACUAACUAGAGGGAAUGCCUCGUCUCAAGGAUGCGCUGAUGAGGGAGCCAUUUUGGAGAGUAGCUGAAAAUCCAGCUACUCAUAAGCCCUUCUUGCUGAAGGACCAUAGCACAAGAGAGAGCACGAAGGAUUCAUUUGCUUCAGAACCUCUCCCCAACGCCUGCUGCAUUCCACACACUGUGGUAGGUGCUGUGGGUUUUCAAGAGAAAAUUCCCUUGGCUUCGUGGAGCUUCUUAGUGGGAGGAAAUAGGCAAUGAAAAAAAUACAGAGAAUGUCAGGUGGUACCCAGUGCUAUGCAGGGGGAAAGGCUGAGUUAAGAGGGAUGGUAAGUGCUGGGUGGGGGGGUGGGGGAGGGGGGCUGCUGUUGUGUAAGGGACUCGAGCCAGACUCUGGUAAUUCUUUAGCAGAGACCUGAAAGUGACCGAGGGACCAAGCAGUUCAGGACCGUUUCUACUGUUCGUAUGUGUUAUAAAGACAUAACCCAGAGUUUAAGACUAUCUAGCAGAAAGGGCUAGUUUAAUACAAACCACACGGCCAAUACUAGAAACAGGUGGGGGGGGGGGCAAAAACACGUUAUUUUAUUACAAAUUCCUUAUACUUUCUUUGAUGUUAUAGUUAGGCCAUUACAUUCAUUUCUUAAAAUUAUGUGUAUAGAUAAUUUCUAUAAUCUCUGAGUUUCACGUCAAGAUAGUAAAGGUGAUUACAACAUACGCGCUUUGUGAGAGAGGGGUUAGGUCCACCUGGGUUGAGCAUUCCUGCCACGGUGUGUGUGCUCACAGGGGAAUCACCUCAGAAUCACUAUGGGGGAGCCACCGAUUCCUGCCCCCCCUCCCCCAGGGUCCUCCUGGAGGUUAUGUUACCGUAGGGAGUCAGACUGAAACUUACCAGGCAAGUCAAAUAAUUAAAUAACUACAAGUCGGGCAAGUGUUACAAAGGAAACAAACAAGCUUAUGGAGAGGAGGAUGAGGCGUGGGGCAGGGGGAAGUUUUGUGCUUACCCGUGAGGGUCAGGGAAGAAUUAAGAGCUCCCGGGAGGGAGAGAACUUGCAAACCGUUGGGGAGGAUGUGGUUCACACCUCAACUAGGAGCAGCCGCAGGUGACUGGUGGCUGCCAUAUGGGCUGAGCAGAACAAUGAGACAGAAUCGGCUCCGAGAUGAUAAACGUUGAAGAUGAGUCAGAGGUUCAUGGGGGUUCAGUACACUAUUCUCUCUGCUUUUGAAAUAUUUUAAAGUUUCCAUUAAUAAUAAAAGAAAAACAAAAGCCUUCAAAAGCA